AUGAACGCUAGCGAUAUGCCUAACACAUGCAAGUCGUACGAAAAAUAAAAUUUUAGUGGCACACGGGUGAGUAAUACGUAAGAAUUUGCCUUUAGGAAGAGGAUAACUUUUAGAAAUAAUUGCUAAAACUCUAUAAAAUAAUCUAUUUGUAUUAUUUAAAAAAGAAAUUUGCCUAAAGAGGAGCUUACGCUUGAUUAGCUAGUUGGUAAGGUAAAGGCUUACCAAGGCGAUGAUCAAUAGCUGGUCUGAGAGGACGAUUAGCCACACUGAAACUGAGACACGGUUCAGACUCCUACGGGAGGCAGCAGUGAGGAAUAUUCUGCAAUGGGCGAAAGCCUGACAGAGCAAUAUCGCGUGAAGGAUGAAGGCCUUUUUGGUUGUAAACUUCUUUUUUCAAGGAAGAAAAAAUGACGUUACUUGAAGAAUAAGCAUCGGCUAACUCUGU
rnacentral:rRNA from 1 species